UAGGCCAUUUCCAUUAUCCUUCCUCUUUGCUACCAACAUGGCAUCCCACCGUCCCACCCUGUACUCAGCGCGUGUUAAUCUCUUUAAAAGUGGAUGAAAAUAUGCAAAAUUUUACAGAACAUAAGGAAUUUUAGUUGCCGUUGAUAUUGUCAAGAGUUUUUUUUUGCAUUUAUUUAGAGUGGUGUUUGUGUUCGAUAAUUAAGUGUUCUGAUUCUGAUAUGUGAUAUUAUCACCAUGCAUAUCUCAAAAGCACGCCGAGUUGUAUUGCAGACUAUUCAGACUCCUCUCUUUUCUCCUUAUGGCUUGCAGUUAUGAAUAUCAAGUUAUGAAGACUGCGUUGAUGUAUUCACAGAAAUCUAGUUUCACGCUCCUUAUCAGAUGUGACUGUUUUACCAUCCGCUUAUAUUUAUGGAUCAUGGGCAUUCCCAUACCAAUCCUAGUUUUCACAAAUGACAAAUGACUUCUGGAUUUUUCCUAUAAACCACAACAACUUUAUGCAAACGAUUCUCUCUUGAGUAGUAUUUCUGAAAAUUCGUUUCCUUAUUCCCAACAAUAAGCUGUAGCAAACUUCCAAUAGCAGACGGAAGUAAAAAAUUGAUGUGAUUGGCAACCAGCCAACCACCAAAAUUCUAUUAAAUCACCAGUCAUCACAGCCACCACCAUCAAUCAUCUGUAACUGUUUUGUGUAUUAGACUGAAAGAGAAUCAGCAUCCUGGUUUUCCUUCCAGGAAAGAGGAAAAGGACAAAGAGAUCAUAAUUAGGUUAAUACUGCGCCGCUAUUCCCUGGACUUCAUCCAUUGGUGGAAACUGACAAGAGAUCAACGACGACUGACUGGCUGACGUGCUGUGAUUCAACAGUACUGCACACUUGCGUGCGUUCCUUCCGUCGCUCCGAGUUGUGCCUGCUCCAGCUACGCGUCCAGCAUCAUUCGACUACCCAACGGACCACUGGGUGGGUCAACCUUCACUGAUUCCUAUAACUGUUCUCAACGCAGCAUAGAGUUUUAAUCUUAAGAUUGUUGGAUGCAUCAUUGUUGCUGUGUGUCAUGGUGAUUUUUUUCGGGACGACGAGCUGAUGAUUUGGGAGAGGAAACUAUUGCGUGAGUAUUGAAUUUUUGUCUUUUAUUUUUGUUCUGUUUGUUGGUUCAAUCCUGGUUCAAUACUGAAGUAUUCAGUUGAGUCAAUUACUGAAGUAUUCUGCUUUGAUCGUUUUAAGCCCAUUUUUGUUAAUUUUUAGUUUUACUUUGUACAUUUCUAAUGAUCCAAUCCAAGCUGCUCACUUGUUAAUUAACCACAUUGAAAUUAUGAGUCAUUCCCGGUACUGCCAGCCUAUUUAAUGUUCAGUAAGUUAAAGUGAGCGUCCACUGAACGUCUGAUCCUGAAUAAAUUAAGAAUGCAAGUUAUCGUUUAUAUUCCUACAUUAUUCUUUUUCUGCUUGUAGUGAAUUUAAAUUUCAUACUUGUUUUAAUUUUUUUACUUCCAUUCCCACAUGACGAAUAUCUAUACCCGCUGUUUUUUGGCGUUACCCACAUUAAAUUUACUCAUUGUUUGGCAA
rnacentral:lncRNA from 1 species